GACGGGGGAUGCAAGUGUUAUCCGGAAUAACUGGGCGUAAAGCGUCUGCAGGUGGUUUCCUAAGUCCACUGUUAAACCUUGAGGCUCAACCUCAAAUCUGCAUUGGAAACUAGGAGACUUGAGUAUAGUAGGGGUAGAGGGAAUUUCCAGUGGAGCGGUGAAAUGCGUAGAUAUUGGAAAGAACACCGAUGGCGAAGGCACUCUACUGGGCUAUUACUGACACUCAGAGACGAAAGCUAGGGGAGCAAAUGGG
rnacentral:rRNA from 1 species